UCCAGCGUGUUCAAGCGUUAAUCGGAUUUACUGGGCGUAAAGCGUGCGUAGGCGGUUCGUUAAGUCGAUUGUGAAAGCCCUGGGCUUAACCUGGGAAUUGCAGUCGAUACUGGCGGACUAGAGAACGGUAGAGGGAGGCGGAACUCCAGGUGUAGCGGUGAAAUGCGUAGAUAUCUGGAAGAACACCGAUGGCGAAGGCAACCUCCUGGGCCUGUUCUGACGCGGAGGCACGAAAGCGGGGGUAGCAAACAGGAGGAGAUAACCCCGUAGUCC
rnacentral:rRNA from 1 species